rnacentral:rRNA from 1 species
AUGAUGAAUACUGCUCCAGAGCAUUGGUGUAGGGCAUACAUGAAGCUAGGCUCCAACUGUGACUCAGUGGAUAAUAACAUGUGUGAGUCCUUUAACAAUUGGAUCUUGGAAGCAAGGUAUCUCCCAUGCAUCUCUAUGCUAGAGUGGAUCAGACAGAAGAACAUGGUGAGGAUACAAGAAAACAGAACUAAAGCUGAGAAAUGGGAAGGGACCAUUUGUCCUAAUGUAUUCAAAAAACUGAAACAGAACAUUAAGAGAUCAGGCACUUGUGAUGUCCUCUGGAAUGGAAAAGAGGGGUUUGAGGUACUUGAACAUGAGAAGUUCAAAUUCACUGUGAACUUGGAAGCAUGGACAUGCUCAUGCAGAUACUGGCAACUUUCUGGCCUUCCAUGUUGUCACGCAAUAAGUGCUAUCUACAAAACUGGCAGGAAAAUAGAUGAUUACAUUGCCAAGUGCUACUCUAUUGAAGUGUACAACAAAAUAUAUUCCCAUUGUUUGGAGCCCUUGGAGGGGGAAGAAAGUUGGCCAAGAUCAGAUCGAGUAAAGCCUGCACCUCCAGGGUACAUUAGCUUGCCAGGCAGGCCAAAGACAGAGAGACGAAGAGAGGAGGGAGAAGCACCAAAGGGGAAUAAGAUGAGGAAGAUAGGAGGGACAAUAACAUGCAGUCCAUGCCAUAGGACAGGUCACAACAUGAAAUCUUGCACAAACAAUGGAGCAGGUAAGCACCAGGGCAAUUCACAUAUUGUGAGAGAUGCUGCAAGGAAAAGAAAACAAGAUAAAGAUGCAAUGGAAGCUGAAAAUGCUAAGAAAACAAAGGCAGCAGUUGAGGCUGCAAAUGCAAAGAAGGAAAAGGGGGUUGCACAGUCAAGUUCUCAGCCACAUGUUCAAAUUCAUGAAAAUUUAACAAGUUCUCAGCCAAGCAGGCAGGGCAAGUCACAAGCUGGAGUUCCUAAUGUCCCAGCCAAGCAGGCAGGGCAAAAUGUUAAGAAAUCAAUGCAGGGCAAGUCACAAGCUGGAGCAAGCCAAGCAGGAAGGGUGAAACACUCAAGCAUGCAGAGGAAAUCCACAAAUGUUGGUGGUUCACAGCCAUCAACCAGCCAGAGGAAAUCCACACAGGGGGGAACAACCAGCAGCUCACAACCCAAUGUUCCCAAGCACUGUGUGUUCAACCUGGCAGCAUACAAGAAGGCCUUAGAGAGCAAGAAAGGACCGUCCAUUUGA